rnacentral:rRNA from 1 species
GACGUAGGAGGCGAGCGUUUAUCCGGAUUCACUGGGCGUAAAGCGCAUGUAGGCGGCUGGACAAGUCGUGUGUUAAAGCCCCUGGCUCAACUGGGGGGAGGUCAUGCGAGGCUGUACGGCUGGAGGGCAACAGAGGCACGGUGGAACUCCCGGUGUAGCGGUGGAAUGCGUAGAGAUCGGGAAGAACACCAGUGGCGAAGGCGAACGUGCUGGGUUGCACCUGACGCUGAGAUGCGAAAGUGUGGGGGAGCAAACAGG